AUAGAUGAGAAGAUACAAAAGUUAAUUAAAGAAAAAGGACUUGGAUCACACGUAGCAGCAGUGACUGUUCUAGCAGAGCUGUAUUAUUUUAACCUCCGAAACUCAGAAUUUAAAUAAGAUCCCUUGUUAGCAAAAUACAUUUAUAAAACAUCUCAUUAGAAUUGUCUGUUUUCUGUCACCAUUACACUGGAUAAAAAAUAACUAGCACAUUAUGCAAACUAUUGUGGUCCUCAGGGAAACACAUACUGUGUAUUAUGAGCACUUACCUGUAACAUCCUCCAGUGAAUGAUUAAAUUAAGGGCAUCAGGUACUGUGAUUACUCUCAGAAAGGCAGGUUUUUUGUGGAGGAAAAAAAGUUAGCACCUAUUUACUUUUCUCUGUAUGGCUCUUCAGUCUGUGGUCUGGAUUUUGUAAAUCAAAUUAGUUCUUUUGAUUUUAAUUACUACUUAUUUGCCUGCAAUAUUCUGCUUUUAAUUUUAGCAUUUACUUUUAAUCUUACAAUAUGUCAUAUGUAUGGCUUUAAACACAGUCCUCAUUUGGAGUAAGUCUGAGUUUGGUUCUGAUAAAUCAAAUUACUUUCUUUACUGGAUUAUAAAUUCUUAAACAAACAAACAAACAUAUUUUUGCAAAUUGAAACCUAGAGAGAAGUAUUUGACCACAUCGUUUUAAGGGGUGGGAGAUUGAACGGAGAAGCUGUAAGGUGAAAGAUUCUAAUCUGAACUAUAACGCUUAUUAGAAACAUUCAAAACAGCUAACGAAUAGGCAAAGUGUUUUAAAGGGGGGUGGAAAAGCAAAUUCUAAAAAGCAGUGAGAAUUUGGCUCUCCUUAUCUGAUACAAACCUUCAGCGAAAGUAAAUUCACAUAGAUAAGCAUUUCCUAACCAGCAUCUCUGUAGCUGAUCAACAUACAGUCUUGUUUUCGGAUCCUUAUCUCGCAUCACUGGUAUCAGCCCAUUUACUCCUGAAUUAUGUGUGUGUCUGGGAUGGUCAUAAACUCUUGGUGUUUGUCCAUGCUAGUUUUAUGACGGGACACUCUUUGUGUAUUAUUGUACUGUUUAUGCAUUUCUAAGUGCUGUCAGUUUCCUAACAAGGCAGGUAGCUUUAGGUGAGUUGGGUUUUUUUAAAUUUUUUUUCUUUCUUCCUUAUUAAUAUAUACAACACAUAGAAAAGUUCUCUUGAAAACAAAAAUGCUAAUACCAAAUCCUCUCAUAAAUUCAACAGUGGCACUGUGGCUGACUCUGGCUUUUUUGCUAGAUCUGUGACAGACCUUGCAAGGAAAAAUCUCACAGGAGCUUUCUUCUUACUCGUGCCCAGUUUCAUAUCAAAUUGAUGGGAUUCUAUAAAUUCUUCACAGUCAUGUGAAGUGCGUUCUCUGGAAAGGAGAAGACCUUUUCUCUCCCACAGAAGUUCUUCCCACAUUUUCUUCUGGCUGUAUCCUGAUGGAAGGACUGGGCACACCUUGUGUAAUUUAAAAACUCUAAUUAUGUGUGCAUCCAUUGAAAACCCAUGUGCCUCAGAAGGGAUUAAUUGCUUCAAGGUCAAACUGUGGAGUAGUUCUUAAUACAACAAAUAUAUACUGCAUGCCAAAGAAGCAAGCUCCUCUACAACAAUAAAAUUCUUAAAGGUGUGAAUUCUGAAACACUUUCCUAGCUACACAGCUUGCUUCCAAACAUUAAUUCUGGAUCAAAUAAUUAUCCCUUUAAUUAUAAGAAGGUAAGUGAGUAACUGUCAGCUCUUUUCCGUUCUUCCCAAGUGUCUCUCAGGCCCAGAUAACAAGCAGGUGUCUUAUCUCUAGUACUUAGCACAGAAGUACUUUUUGAUAAUGGAUUACAGAAUCAUCACUUUGCAGAAAAGUUUUCAUUUCAAUACUGUGCUAAGUUUUCAGAACGUUGGUCCCAUCUUGAGCUAUUGUGUAGUUAGCAGUUUAUCAGACAAUGUUCUGCCAUUCAGCAAAUCACUAGCAGUGUGAUAAAGCUUUAUUCAGCAUGGCUCUCAUUUUACUGCAAGUAUGUGAAAGCCUUACUUUUCUUUGGUGCAUUUACAUUUUACCUGUCCUUGACUGGGUUUUGCUGCAACUUCUGGAGUGCCAGGACAUUGCAGCCAUCAGUGAUCAGAAUUUUCCAAGGUCUGCUCCCUAAAUCAGUUAUGAAGCAAGGAUGAGGAAAGGGAGACAGUUAUCCUUAGUACCUGUUUCACAGCCCUUAAGAUUUCACUUUGUCGAAAAACAGGAUCAGGCUGCUCAAGAAGGUGGUGGAGUCACCAUCCCUGGAAGUGUUCAGGAAAAGAGUAGAUGUUGCACUGGGUGACAUGAUAUUAUUGGUAUUUCCAACUAGGAAAUAGGAAUGUGGUACAUAGCAAAUGUGAUUUGGCGGUGGGUUGUUAGGGUAGUACAGAUAAGUUGAGGUUGGACUUGAUGAUCUUGAAAGUUUUAAGUGAUUCUAUGACAAUAUAAUAAUAUUUCGAGGUGGGGGGAAGGUAUCAGUGUCUUUCAAGAUUCUAAUGAUAUCAUCUUUUACAAAAAAUGACUGAAGAAAAUAAGGUCAUUUUCCCAGAGUGGAGGUGAAACCAUCCAGAUCACCUUAUUCCUUCUUCAUUCUGCUGUUAACACACAGAGCACUCAAAGGUCUAUAUUUCAUUAACUGCUUUUGCACCUGUUUUGGUUAUUUUCCUUUGUUUCAAGGACAUAUUUUGUUAUCUACUGCUAAACUGUCCUUGCAAAACUUCCUCUCACUGUUAUACUGGCCCUCGUCCAUAGCUGCAAUCUGGUCUCAAAUGUGUUUACACAGUGUUGUUAUUUAGUGCCAUUGGUUACCAUGACAUGCAAAAAUCAAAAGUUUUUAAAAACCCUGGCCAUCAGAAUGGGUUGCCUAAAUCAAGAAUAGAACAUAGAAAUCAAAUUGCCUAGUGCUGGAAAAGCAAGUUUCUAAAAGCUAGAAUGAAGGGGAAAAAUGCUUUUGUGCCAUGACCUGAAAUUCAUCAAAUUCCAGUUCUGUCCCUAAGUUUACAGAUAAGAUUUUGCAGUAGAACAACAAUUGCUACCUGCCUCAUUCUCAUCAAUCAAAUCAUGCCGAGAAGGCAGCAGCCUCUGAAAACCCCAGGAAAUUUUCUAAGUCUGAAAUACUGCAAGUAGAUCUCUGGCUUAAGACCUCAAAAGUGAAAACCCGGUACAACUAGCUUUCAUGUUAAUGUAACCAGAGAUAGUGUUUUUCCAGUGAAUUCCAGUAAAUUUGUUAAACCUUCUACUCUAGGCAUGAUUUUGAAAUAAAACUUGACUUUUAUUAAUUUUGAUUUUUCUUUUAUUUCAAACUGCUCUCAUUUGAUUUUUGCUGAGGAGCACUUGUUUGAAUAAGACAAGUCCAGCAGUGAAAAAGUUUGAAGUUCAGCACUCUUCUUAUUUUGUUAUACGCUGCUCCUGGCAGUUGUGACAGUUUCUUUACAUCAGUUGGACUUGAUGAUCCCUGUGGGCCCCUUCCAACUCAGGAUAUUCUGUGAUUCUGAUUCUGCUAUGUAAUCCAAAGGACAACCUGAUGGGGUAACAUAUACCUUAACUCAAACUUCUCAGUGUCUGUUAUUUCCUAUGAUAAAGCUUCAAAGUAGAACAAGUGUUUACUGCUCUGCAGUAUCAAAUAUAUAAAGAAAAGCCUGAGCUUACAGCCUUACAACUUAGAUUGCAAUGAAUCCCUUACAGCUGUGGUCCAGUUACACUGCUGUUUUGGAGUGGAUGAGUCAAGCUGAAUAAGUAUACAGAUAUCUACGUGUGAUAAGCUGCUUUUGCAAUAAUAAUUUACAAAGCCGCUUGAAACUAUUGAAGCAGCACUGCUGCUGCUCCUGCCUUUCAGGAUUUUCCUGCCCACAAGCUUAUGCUUCUGAUUCAUAGAAACCUAAGCCAACCCUUAAUAUGAUGCUCUGUUGCUGCCUGCUUGUGGUUAUUAUCUCAGAAGUCUUGGCUGCUAAGUUACACUUAAGUUGGUCUCUAAGUGGUUCCUUGGGCAACCCGCGUUCUCUCUUGAUGUGCAUGUUUGUUGCACAAGAAACACUUGAAAGUCAUUUAAUCCACUGGAAUGAUGAGCUGAGCUUGUUAUGCAGCCCUUCUCUUAGGGCUUUCUUAGGCAUGCAAACUAGGAAGCACACUCUCCUCUUUAAUAGGCUCACAUUACCUCUGUAUGAAAAACACUGCUGCUCACCUUACAGGUGAGGAACAACCCAGCUUUAGUUUAGUCUCCAUAUUCUUUGCAGAGCCACCCCAGAUACUGACUACAGAGCAAGCAAUGAGUAAGCAAUCUGUAGGCUGAAAUGUACCUUGGGAAUUCAGCUACUUAAUGUUUAAUGGUUUUGUCUUAAAUAUUCAUACAAGCUAUCUGUGGACUUUUGAUAAACAGGAGAUAUGUUCAAAGUGAAUAAGACACUUUACUCAGCAGUAGCUACAAAGAGUCUACUAUACUGUGUCUUUUUGUUUUUGUUUUUUUUUUGUGUAUGUCAAUUGGCAUAAUACAAGAUAUCAUACAAAUCUUGCCUUAUUUAAAAAGGUCUUAAUUUUAAAGGGUGAUCACAUUUUUAUCUAAGGAAUUUGAAUGGGGUUUCAAACCAUUCAUCACUGCUACUGCUGAAGAUGAGAGUAUGCUGCUUGUUUGGAUUCAGUAACAUAUUUUAAGCUUCUGAAUCUAGACACCAUUAGGAAGUUAAUGCAACUGUUCAAUCCUUAAUCAUUUUUCCAUUUUUUUUCUCUUUUAACAUUCCUUAUAUUAAAAAAUAUUUUAACUUUUAUUCCCUCAAGGACUCUUUGUGUUCCUUGUGUGCUCUUCUGCAGUGACCAAUCCUUUUGAUUGUAAAGGCAGUUCUUAGUAUAUCUUUUGCCAUAAUACUGAAAAUCUUAUGAAGUCUUAAUGUCUCCCCUUGUUUAUGAAAACAUUGUAUGUCUGACUUGCCCUUUGGCUUAUAUUUGUGCUUUGCCAACACAUUGCAUUCUUGAGAAAAUCAUUAAUCUAUUAACCUUAACAUACUGAUUUAAUUUACAAACUAUAGUUAGAACUAGUUCUCUAUGGCUGCACAUGUAAAAUGAGAACAAACUUCUGAAAACUUAAUUGCUUAAGUUAAUCCCUAGCCUGUGUUCCAAUAUCAGAUGCAUCACACUGAGUUUUUCCUAGAGUAAAAAAAAAAAAAAAAAGAAUUACCUAUUUUAAUAUUUGCACUAAGUGUGUAAUGCCCAGCCAGAGCUGGCAUCUCUUAUUCCAAAGGGUCAUCGGUCUGAACCCGUCAAUUUAACACAUUCUGCUGAAAAGGCCAUCACCAUCUCCCAUUAGAUAAUGAAACACAUCAAGGCUGUUCUUUCAGAAUUAAGGAACAGAUUCUCAUCUGUCAAUCUGGACAAGAGACAGAAUAAUUUGGCUGCCAUUUAUGUUCUAAAUUAUUGUAAUGAUAAUAAUGGUGAGGUACAACAGCCGCAUGAUCUUUUGGGUAAGUAAAUGGCCUGUGUGCCACGUUUGAGUUAAAUAAAGCAGAUAGAAAUAUCUAUAGUAUAAAAAUGCACCAUGCUCAAUCCCUUUGCUAUCCUAGCUAAGUACUUUGUCAUUAAUUCUGAGAAGGAAAAAUCCAGUCUUAUUCAAUUAAAAUCAAGGCUUGUUCAAAAGUUUCCAAACUGUGUAAUUCAGUGAGGAAUAAAGGGCAUUAUUAAAUUAGUUUAAUGAGGUUAGUAUUGCCACAUAAUUUCAGCAGUUCACUUUUGAUUUUGGCAAUGGCAUCAUCGACAUAGUUUCUUCUUCUUUUGUUAAACUGAGCUUCACUUGGCAUUUUGGGAAAGUCAGAGAUGGAGAUUUUGUCAAAAAAGUAUCGUUAUGAAGCCCUUAAUGAUAAGAAGGAGAAAGGCGAAAGUGAUCAUAAAAUAUGAGAAAUUAUUUUAAUUGCAAAAGAUAAGGAUUUUCUUAAAACUGAACAGAUAGUUGACAUUUUGAAAUAAAAAUUUUGGCUGAAAAUUAAGAAAUUUGCUUAAAGGGAUGCAUAAUCUAAACAAAGCACAGAAUUUUUAAACCAAGUCAAACAUAUCUGUUCAUUUCCAGAAGGAACUAAUAAAACCCCGUUAAGUUUGAGCCACAUUUAUGUGUACAUAGACAUAGUUUUGCUUGCACUUACUAGAGACUGACAUAGAAGUAAUUAACUCCUUCACUUAAAGUGGCUGAAUAUCAACUACAUAUUCUAAUGUCAAUUAAGCACAGUACAUCCAGUAUGAGCAUUUAAAUGGCUUUUUCCCCUUUAGAAAGGGCAGAUUUCUCCUCCACAAGAAAGUUGGCUCACACUCGAAAUGCACAUCUUGCUGGGGAAGAUAAAUUGAUCUGUUAUUGCUUCAUUAAAGAAGGAGUGACAAAUGGGGUAAAAAUCAAUCCAGAAGCUAUGGUCCAUGUUCAGACAGUCUUCCAGUAUGUGUCCUUCUAUCUCCCCAUUCCUCAUUAGAACAGAGCAUUUGUUUUUGAGGAAACUUUUGAAAUAAACACCAAAUAGCCAGAGAAUUUGCCUAAUAAUUUAUGACUGACUUUCCUUCAAAGUCUUGAUUCCUUUAAAAUCUUCAAGCUCUAGUCAUUUUUGCUGAAUCAAAAUGGAAACAAAACAGCCAUUUGCUCAUUCACUGAGAUCAAAAUAAUGCACUGAAUGGAAAGGAAUCAAUUGAUUAACCAUUGUCAGGUAAUCAAAGUAGCUGAGGAUGGAUAUAGUGAAAAUUCAUCUCACAACAUGUAACAGAUACUUGUAACAGUUGAGAAACAGUCCGUGAAAAAGCACAUUGCAGUGACCUAAACUUUGCAUGUUAGAAAGGUAAGCACAAAAAUUUGAACCUUUCAGUGGGAAGUCAGAGGCUAAGAUGUCUUUUAGGAGAUGUAUUGAUAGUUCCUUCAUUUGUGUAGAUGGUUACAUGAUGUAUUAAGAGAGUUCGACCGCUAAACUGUGUGUAAUUAUUUGCCAGGAUGUUUUUUAAUGUGUACCUAACAGGUCUACCAGCCUGUCUUGAUUCUCAGGACAUUUGAUGGUGUCAGCAGAGUAUAAGGUAAUUUCCAUAUUUCUUCACAUUAUUGAGCUUGAUUUUAUAACCUUAACAACUAUGUAGGAUUUAAAUUACAUCUGAAACACACACUUUUUCUGGGUGCAGUAUGAUUGAAGACAAACAUUAGCCAAAAUUAGUCCCCUCAACUAAGACAAGAAGAGCUGUUUUUUUUCUAAAUAUUUCCUUCAAAUAUAUUUGGCAUCAUUUUGCCCUGCCUUUGUCUAGGGAUAUAUCUGUUCUUCCUUUGUGCCUGUAUAUCUGUCCUUACAACCUUUGGAAAUCUUGGCUCCAUUCUUCAGCUUUUGAAGGAAGAGCAGGCAAAGACAAACACUUUACCUCAGUUUCUGUGAAAACGAUAGGCUGGAGAGAAAAAGAAGAUCAGGUUAGACCAGCAGUGAAGGAAAGGCAGUGAGGACUCAGCAAUUCUAAGCUCUGUUUAGCAGCAACUGGUUGACCAGUCACCACAUGCCUUCCAGUGGUCAUGCAUGUAGGUAAACAGGAGCUGCAGCAAUGUACUUUCCAUUCCCAAUCUGAGAUGCUGUGGAAGUGAGCCACUGUAUGCAGUGGUGGGAUUUAGCAGUCAGGGACAUAAAUCCAAAAGUAAGAGUGUUUCCCUGGUUCUGCUGCUAGCAAAAAGCUUGUUCUAAGAAACAAAGACAUGAAAAGAAAGAAAUGUGGCCAUUACUUUAUUAAGGCUGCUAAAUGUCUAUUUCUAGUUUUGAGAUGAAAAGAUUUGACCUUGUGCUUAAAUUACAGGUCAUGCGACCUAGAAAUCAUCUGGUACCUGGUGAAAGCCUGCAGUUAUGUACAAAGAUAUUAUCCUGACAAUUUGAAGAAUCUAGAGUCUAGCUACCUUCCUUGGAAAAGUAUAGUAAUUUUUCCAACAGGGGCAGGUUUCUUCCUCUACGUCUCAUUCUCACCACCAAUAGUUUGUUGCAAAGUGGUUCUACAGGUGAUAAUUCUUGGAAACAAGAGCAGUCUGUACUGCAUCCCCUUGCUUAUUUGUUAUGAAUUGUAUUCAGCUACAUCCAAUUCCUAUACCAGUGCUAGCCUAAGGCGCUGUUUGCAAAGCACUGCAAGUAGAAAUGUCAGGAUGUUUAGCAUUUGCUCUUUAGGGACACAGAGAUCUUUCAUGGAACACUGAUGAGGUUAGUAUUAUUAAUGGAGAUAUCUGCAGUGGAAACAAGUUUUCUAAUGCUUUAAAUAUUGAACGUAUUAAACAAAGAAAAUAAGACAUAUUGAAACACCUAAGAAACUUGCAAGGCAAAUAAUAGCUCAGGGCAACAACACUUCCAUUUUCCAAGGAUUCUGCAAUGAAUAUGCAGAUUUCUUUUGCAUAUCUGCUGCAUUUAAAGAGAGAAGGCCUGUUUCAUUUUCUGAAAAGCAUUUAUAUAUAUCAGUCCAAGCUGUCUGAAUUGAGUUGAGCAAUUUUAGUAAAACUUCUUUAAUAUCUAUCAGUCAUUUGAGCAAUUCUGGACAGAUUGUGCAAUAAUUGUUGGAAAAAAAAAUAGAAAAAGAAAUUCUUGCUUAUCUAUUGUUUUUGGACAGUUGUCUAGCAUGAUUUGACAAACAGCAUAUUGAAGACUUUAACAGCUGAGCAUAAAAAGCCUGAACUGGAGCCAUAUACGGAAUAUUUUUCACUGAUGAAUUUACACUGUUGUGAGAUUCAUUAGAAAUUCAUUAAUAACGUUCCUCUCUGUUAAUGAACAGUAAACAGUCAGUAGCAUCUAGGUGGAAAGAUAAUAAUCGGCUUGGUGACAUGUUUGAUCCCUGAAAGGGAGUCUAGGUGAUCUGUGCUGUCUUCACAGAUGCUGCACAGAGGACACCCCUUGCAGGAAAAUCGAUUCAGCUCUUGCAGAGGUGUGAUGAACCCUGGGGGAAGGAAUGGGAAUUUCUCUUCCCAUCAACUAGGAAGCUAACAUAGAAGACUGGCUUAAAUAAGAGGCCUGGGUUUCUGGAGUCUAUAAUUAGGGAAAAUAAAUCCCAACUAUUACUUUUAGCAUUGUUCAGCCAUUCCUUUGCAAAACCUGCACCAACGGCUUAGCCUUUCUUAAAGGUAAUCAGAGCUUUUUCAUAAAGCUUUUGACAUGUGCAAUGCCAGAUCUCUCUCCAAUAGACUCUUGAUAUAUGUUUCUGCAUUAUAUAUGUCUCUGUAUUAGGCCUACUAUCUUGCAUACAUAUUUUCUGAAGCAAACUUGUCUUGCUUAAAUUGGAUAUUAAUACACUCCUAAAUAGACAAGAAUCCUAUUUAGGUUCAUCUUCUAGUAAGGAGUCAUUUUUGUGUUACUUAUCUCUUGAUUGUCUCUUUCUAGACAAACAUUGACUUUCAUACAACUUGGAGGGCCAUAAUAAUCUCUGAGGCUUCUGCUUCUCUUUCGAAUCUGGUUGAAACUGGUUAGUGGAUACAAAAGUUCUUGAUGAAAAGUGACAGAUGGAUGAACAGAUGAUUAAGCAGACAGAUAGACAGCAGGAACUCAUAAGACUCAUUUCAUUAGGAAACUGGACUGAAAACAGAAGUGGCAGUGGGUGGAAGUACUUGGAUGAUGUUCAUAUAAUGGUCAUCAAUUAAAAUUGCCAUUUUUUUGCAGCAGAUUCAAAGAAUAUAGGCAAUGUCUCUAGUGGAAAAGGAAAAGCCAAAGACACAGUGCUGAGAUUUUUUUUUUCAGCAUCUUGUUUGGUCAGAAUAUUACAUUUUUAUAGUUUGGACUAUAUUUUAAAUCUUUAAAGCCAAAUUCAACUUGGACAGCCCUGGCAAUUUCAAUGGAGGAUUAAUGUGUGUCAUUAAGCAAAGAAAUAUGGUCUAGUACUUUUCAAUAGCAACAAAUGCUUGCAAAGGCACUUCUCUAAUCACCAUAUUUUUGGCUUACUGCAAAGCCCUUGGACUGAUCCUUUCCUAAAUAUAUGGAAUGUACAUGCAGGAAAGCUGAGGGUGAAUUGCUGUGAUUUGAGAUGCUUGCUAUAUUGCAGCUGAAAAGUGCAUUCUUGCUGCUAACUCUUUUCCAUUCAAGCUGAUUCAGCAGAAAACUGGCCCACUAAAAAGAAAGAGGCAGGGGGUAUUUACUUAUUGGCAAACUGAUUCAAAGUCAGUGUGUGGUCUGACUGUCAGUUAUUCUGUGGAGAGGAAUGGGGUUUGUGUAGACAGAGAGGAAGGCAGGAAUGCACUUUCAAGCAAGUGAAGUACAUUAUUAAUCUGUACUCGAACAGGUUCCCCUAAAAGAGAAGCACAAGGUGAAAAAGAGCUGGAAAAAGCUGGGUAAUUCCUCAUUAGAUUGCUCUUAACAGAAAACUCCAGUUUGUCAUGGACAAGUGACUCCUUUGAAAUACAGUGGCUUGGCAAAUGUUGAGGGCAUGGUAUUUUCUGUGUAAGAACGUAUAGAAGUAAGGGCCCUCUUUCAACAAACAAGGACUCUGUGACUCUGCUCCCCCCUGCCUGCCUGCCUGUCUGGAGGGAUGUUGCUCUGCCAUAGCUGAAUCAGCAGCUAACACCAACAGCAAUCCUUCCUGUCUCAUUUACACAUGAAGCAAAGCAGGGCAUCAUUCCAACACACGAAGUGAAAUACUGAGUUGCACACAUGCAAGGUACAAUUUGUAAAAGCAUGCUCUGUGAUGCUGCUUUUGGUCCCUUUGAAGUUAGUGGCAGAUCUCCCACAAAUUUCAACUGCAAAAUUGGCCAGUGGUGAAAUCUUUAAAAAAAUCCAUGUUAUAAAUAUUAGAAAUACGAUAGAACUGGUGUUCCAGCAUUAAGAUCACCAGAUGCAGCAUCUGCUCAUCCUCUCUGUUUUUCCAGUUCCCAGAUUUUUUCACCAGUUGAUGCUAGAGGCUGAAAAUCUUUGCCUUCUCAGCAAUCAUGAAAGUGCUUGAAAAUUUAUCAAUGUCCUUUUUAUAACAUCCCCAAACUACUUAUAAUCAUCUCCAAAGAAGUGUUCUUUGGAAUAGUAUCAGAAGGUCAAUUUAUUCCACUGAAACACCUAUUAUUAUAAAGAGAGAGAAAAAACAACAACAACAGAAAAAAAGAAUGAGCCAACAGCACCAGCGCAGCCCUGGAAAAUAUGAAGUCAUCAGUAGAGUUCAGCCAGAACAGACUCCCAUUAAACUCUGUUUAAGAGCCAAGUUCCGCCCUGAGAUAUGUGUUAGCUGCAGUUUAUGUUCAGGGGGAGCUGUGCUGUACUUCAGAGCAAGGCUCAGUCAGAAGUGUGUAUCCACUACAAAUCAAAGAGCCCACAUCCCUUUUGUAUUGUUUCCUCUGUAUAGAUGGAACAGAAUUCUUAAAGAGGUAAAUAAAACAGUCCCAAGUUUCACAAUGCCUUUCAGUUUUGAUUCUCUCCUCUCCUUUUGAUCCUCAGACCUGAAUGACUCUUUCUGCAUCCACCAAGUUAACCUCCUGGUCCUUGGUAUUUGGGCAGGGUGGGGUGAUGCCUCGUUCCCUGAUACAAGCCGUGCCUUCAGCAGCGCUGAUCUCCCAGGAUUGAAUUCCUUCAAUUACAAGGAGGCCUCCAUCUCUUCCAGAAUGAGCAACAUAAUGAGGGAAGACCCGUCCAUGAAGAUUAAUCAUGUCUUCCCAUGGAAGAUGGAUGUGUUCAGCAUCCCUUGUUGGGCACUGAUGUGGCAAGCAAUUCUUUGGUGAUUUUUGUUUACAAAGUAGAUAGAAUAAGAGAUGAAUUAUUAUUUACAGCUAAACAAAGCAAAAUAAAAAUGUUGUAUUUUAUCAAGAAAGAAUGGGAAGGAUGUGAGGGAAAAGAUGGUAAGAACUGCUAGUAAUACGAUUAGGAAGGAGACAUUGACUAGAGAGCUGGAAAUAGAGGAAAAAUUUGGCUAUGUCAGGCUAUGAUCAAACCAGCAACUUUAUGAAGGCUUUGCAAGCUCAUCUUUCCCAUCUCACCACAUGAAGCCACCAUGCACGACUGCCAUUUGGAAUUGGAUAUGUUUAAGAUCUGUAAUCUAUAAUCUACAGCCCUAAAGCUAACCACUGCUUGAGUUCUAACCCUGGAGGAGAAGUCACCUCUCACUGGGAAUGGGAAAAACAUCAAAGGUAAUCAACAAGGUUUCAUUUGAAUUGGUCCCUUUCCAUUAGGAGAUCAAAAUCUGCAAAGGAGCAACCUACAGAUCAUCCUUUUUCUCCCUGACUUUGUGCUGUUGUAUCUGGACUUGCUGGUGUUGGCAUGCUGAUGUUAGCAGAAGACAUUCACUCCACUCUUCUCCAUGACUACUGCAGGAGUGGUAUGAAUGUCAGGAAACACGGCCAGGAAUGCAAAGCAUCCUUCAUUUUGAAAAAAAAUUUGAAAGUUUUCAAGAGAUUUUGAAAAAGGACAAGAAAGCUAUGAGUUCUUCUUUUUGUAAAGCAAAGAGGAAGCAGGAACAGAAUCAUGGCACUGAACGGCAGUUUUGUUUUCUGGUCUGUUCUGCUCAAUGCUUUAUGCAGGUUUUUCUGCAGACUAAUCCUGUGCACAUCCCCCUGUUUCCACCAAGGGCUUAAUUGCUAUUAGUUACUGAUAGUACAGCCUGGCUUAAAAUAGAAAUAAAUCCCACUGUGUUCAGUGAGGGAAAACUGGAUCUUUGUAGAACAGACACUCCCAAAAUUGAAGUCUGCUGAUGUUAUUAUGGACAUUGAAGGGAGACAGACAAUAAUAAACUCUCCCAACUGUGGGAUCCAGGAUGUAAAAAACAAGUCCCAGGUUCUAAAUGAAAAUUCCUAUGACAGGAAAGAUCUGGAGGCAGGAAGAUAGUUUCACAGCAAGCUGUGGAGAUGGGAGAGCAAAGAGAAACCAAUGGAGAAAAGGGAUGGUGGUGGAAGAGGGGACAACUCCCGAAGGAAACACGGCCUCAGCGCAUUGCUUGACAAAUGAAGAUUUAUGUCUUCCUUGCCUGCGCUUUCUUCCUUCCCACUGCUGAGACUGUGGAACAUCCUUGAAAGAAGCAAGAAAAUUAUGUUUAGUAACUGGACUGUCUCUCCUUUGCUGAGAUAUGAGCCCUUACCUGUAGGCUGAGAAAGAGACCAGCAUGAAGGUGGGGAAGAGGGGGGGUAAGAGGGGAAGAGGGUAUCUGAACUAGACAACCUGAGAAGGCAGCUGUGAGAGAAAGAUAACAAGGAGAGUCUGGUCCGCUCUCUGUGAGCAUCCUUGCAUAAAGAUACACCAAGAAUCUUAAUUUUCUGCUCCCUGUACUGUUCAUCAGAAGGACUGUGCUCAUGACACUGGAAUGAACUGUCGUGUAGUUAGAAGGACAAUCUCUGCUGGAUUACAAAUUCUGCUUAUAUAAGGACUUCUUUAAAGUUUCAGGAAAUAAUAGCCUCAACUGAAAAUGUGAUUUUGUAAUAAACUAGUAAAUUUCUAGCUCUAAUAUGCAUUAAGUAAACCUUCAAAAUUGAAUUCAGCGAUAUAUACACAUAGAUCUCAGAAUAUAGAAAUGAAAUAUAAAAAUAGUAUAAUUUUGAAGUCAAUUGAGAAUUUUUGAAAAGUUCCCCAAAUAUUCUGAAUUCAAGGAUGACAUUUUCACACUAAUUCUCCUUAAUCCACUAGAAAUACUUUUCUCUCUGCUUUUCAAACAUGAAGUUCUUUAAUAACUGGUGUUAAGUGAUUUCUGAAUUAUUUGCUUAACCUAUCAGUUAUCUGGUUUAAUUAAAGCUGGCCAUCAGCACCUGUUUUUUUCAUCCUUUAUUAAGUGAUUGAAAUAUCCAAUUAAGAGAUGAGAAGCACCUUGUUUUCAGGUUAACAGAUGUUUUUUCAAAGAAAGCAAGGUGGGUUUUUUUGUUGUUUUAUAGAGAGAAUAAAUGUUUAUUACACAGAG